CACACCUGUGAGAUGGGCUACUCAAACACUGCUGCAUCUGCGACUGUGGUUCAAAGCAGACAGCCCUAGCCUUGCAGAGCAACUAGAAGCAAACAUCCAAGGCCCCUUUAGGACAACCUGACUCUGUGUUAUAUUCUUACUGACUCUUCUCUGAUUGAGGGUUGCUGUGUGUUCCCCAGCCUGCAGGACCAGAAUCCAGAAGUAUUCUCUCCUGACGUUUCACCCACAUCUACGGCAGGCAUCCUCGGAGGUUGUGAGAGCAUAAAGCUUGGGGAGUCGCCUCUUUCAAAAUGAAGAUUCUCUUGGCACUGUGAUACAUGCUGUUCUAUCCAUUGUGAAGUGGGCUUUGCCAUCAGAAGAGGCAGGCAAAGUAGUCUCCUCUCCAGGUCCAAAGGGUGCAAAGGUGGCUUUCUUGGAAUGACGUGAAGACUCAGAGUGCUACAGGAGGGUGAAGGAAAAAAGAGUCAAUAAGGAAGAUACCGUCCUUCCCUGCCAUUUUUGCUGAAUUUGCCCUUUCAAUUAAUGGUAGUCAUCCUUGUCUUUGUGGAAUGUCCACUCUAGAACCACCACCACCACCCCAUUACAACUGAAUGUAGCUGUUUAUAUUAAAACUUCUUAUUCUUUGCCUGCCAAUGCUAUAUCUUGUUGUUACAGUAUUUUUAUGUAGAGUAUUUUGCAUUGUUCCUUGUAGUUCCCUUGAGAUGUCUGUGUAUAUUGUGUGUAUAAGGCAACCUAUAUAUGGACUCCCAUUCAUCAUCAAGACAUCCCUGAGAUGUAACUAUAAUCGGUUUAAUUAAAACUAAUGAUCAUCUACUAUUGUAGAAUAGGUGCCCCAGAUGCUUUGUGCCAUAUGGUGUGCCCACAAUGAGAAGUGUCUUAAAAAUUAAAAUGGGGGGACAUAUGGCCAAGUAAUAUAGAUUGUUUGUGGAUUAAUCCAGGGUGAUUAUAAGAAAUCAGGGGAACAUAUAGUGACUGAUAUGGGGAAGGGGAAAAGACAAAAUUUGUUUUGUUCCUCGCCUUCUCAUUAUUUUCUUAUUUUCUGUUGGCAUGGUAUUUGGAGUCCAUAUAGCAAGCUAAGCACUUUGUAUAGCAUUAAUUUUGAUAAUCUGACAGGAUCUUAAAACAAAAACAUGACAGAGUGGCGGAAUUGCAGAAGAGAGUAUUUUUAUUUAUAUAACCACUUUGACAGAAGGUCACAUCAACCUUUCAAAACAUAGUAGAUCUUGAAAGGACUGCAAAUUUGAUGAAAUAUUUGCAUUCUUCAUAUUAAAUAAGUCUAAUGCUUUUAAUCCAAGCCCACUCCAAGUGUCCACAUUUUAAUGCUUUAUACAACUUGUAGCUCCAACCCAGAAAUGUAUGCAAUGAAAGGUUACACACAAAGAAGUGCUGCCAUAGCCCAACCUGGAUGCGGACCAGGAAGGUUUAGAAGAUUAAAGUUCAAAACAGAAUAAGACACUUUCAAGCUCCCAAACUUGGCUAAUAGAAUAACAAGUUGUAAU